rnacentral:rRNA from 1 species
ACUGCUCAGUAACACGUGGCUAACCUAACUCCGGGACGAGGACAAUCCCGGGAAACUGGGGCUAAUCCCCGAUAGAUGAGAAGGCCUGGAAUGGUUUCUCAUCCAAAAGAUGCUAGAGGCACGCUUUUUGGCAUUGCCUGGAGAUGGGGCCGCGUCUGAUCAGGUUGUUGGUGAGGUAACGGCUCACCAAGCCUAUAACCAGUGCGGGCUGUGAGAGCGGGAGCCCGGAGAUGGGCACUGAGACAAGGGCCCAGGCCCUACGGGGCGCAGCAGGUGCGAAAACUCCACAAUGCACGAAAGUGUGAUGGGGCUAUCCCGAGUGCUGUCCGCUGAGGACAGCUUUUCCAUGCUGUAAGAAGGCGUGGGAAUAAGGAGAGGGCAAGCCUGGUGUCAGCCGCCGCGGUAAUACCAGCUCUCCGAGUGGUAGGGAUAAUUAUUGGGCUUAAAGCGUCUGUAGCUGGCUCUUCAAGUCUUUCGUUAAAUCCAGCGAUUUAAUCGUUGGACUGCGGGAAAUACUGCUGAGCUAGGAGGCGGGAGAAGUUGACGGUAUUUCCGGGGUAGGAGUGAAAUCCUAUAAUCCCGGGAGGACCCACCAGUGGCGAAGGCGGUCGACUAGAACGCGCUCGACAGUGAGGGACGAAAGCUGGGGGAGCGAACCGGAUUAGAUACCCGGGUAGUCCCAGCAGUAAACGAUGCGCGCUAGGUGUUAGAGUGGCUACGAGCCACUUUAGUGCCGCAGGGAAACCGUUAAGCGCGCCGCCUGGGGAGUACGGCCGCAAGGCUGAAACUUAAAGGAAUUGGCGGGGGAGCACCACAAGGGGCGAAGCUUGCGGUUUAAUUGGAGUCAACGCCGGA